CAGUGGACACACAGUUUAACAUGAUGGACUAUAGGACAGGACUGCUGCUGUUAACUAUCUGCUGGGCAGGUGUUGAUGGUCAGACUCUGACAGAAUCUGAAUCAGUGGUUAAAAGGCCUGGAGAAUCUCACAGAUUGACCUGUACAGCCUCUGGAUUCACAUUUAGUGACUACGAGAUGAACUGGGUCAGACAGGCUCCUGGAAAAGGACUGGAGUGGGUUUCUCUUCUCAGCAAACCUAGUGGUAGCACCAAAUACUACUCUCAGUCAGUUCAAGGCCGGUUUACCAUCUCCAGAGACAACAGCAGACAGCAGGUGUAUCUGCAGAUGAACAGUCUGAAGACUGAAGAUUCUGCUGUUUAUUAUUGUGCUCGAGACUCACAGUGACUGGAGUUGGUUGAGCAGCUGUACAAAAUCCUACAGUACUCAUCUUUAUAACAGAGCUUCAUUAAAACCACUCCUCAGAGAAAAUGAACAGCAUUUGUGUGGUUAUGCUUUACAAGUCUCAUUUAGUUUGGAGAGCAGGUGAAAAUGAUAUGCAGAGUCAUGCAGACUUUGAAUUGAGAUAAUUAAAAAAAAAAAAAAAGAAAAUUAUGUUUUGUUUCCUCUUGUGACAUAAAAACAUCACAUUCAUACUGUAUUUGACAGAUAAGCCAGCAGACAUUUUCCAGAGUAUUUUGUACAUCAUCACACACAUUUCUGUUUAUAACUAGUUCAUUUCCAUUUGAGGCUCCAAGUUUCUCUGUAUGUCUGUGACUUCAAACAGCCAUAAUUUGGAUGCUGAAUUCUUUAAAAGUUAAAAACAAGCAAAACAUAACAUAA